rnacentral:rRNA from 1 species
UACGUAGGGUGCAAGCGUUGUCCGGAAUUAUUGGGCGUAAAGAGCUCGUAGGCGGUUUGUCGCGUCUGCUGUGAAAAUCCAGGGCUUAACCCUGGACCUGCAGUGGGUACGGGCAGACUAGAGUGCGGUAGGGGAGAUCGGAAUUCCUGGUGUAGCGGUGAAAUGCGCAGAUAUUGGGAGGAACACCAGUGGCGAAGGCGGCUCACUGGACCGGAACUGACGCUGAGGCGCGAAAGCGUGGGGAGCAAACAGG